UCCCUGGUGGCUCAGUUGGUAAAGCAUCUGCCUGCCAUGCAGGAGACCAGGUUCGAUUCCUGUGUCGGGAAG